rnacentral:rRNA from 1 species
CCUACGGGAGGCAGCAGUGGGGGAUAUUGGACAAUGGGGGAAACCCUGAUCCAGCGAUGCCGCGUGAGGGAAGAAGGUUUUCGGAUUGUAAACCUCUGUGGAGGGGGACGAUAAUGACGGUACCCCUUUAGGAAGCCACGGCAAACUACGUGCCAGCAGCCGCGGUAAUACGUAGGUGGCGAGCGUUAUCCGGAUUUAUUGGGUUAACAGGGUGCGCAGGCGGCCUGUUAAGUCAGCGGUAAAAGCCCGGGGCUCAACCCCGACGAGCCGUUGAAACUGGCGGGCUGGAGUUGGAGAGAAGUACGCGGAAUGCGCGGUGUAGCGGUGAAAUGCUUAGAUAUCGCGCAGAACCCCGAUUGCGAAGGCAGCGUACCGGCUCCACACUGACGCUGAGGCACGAAAGCGUGGGUAUCGAACAGGAUUAGAUACCCUGGUAGUC